AUUUCUUUUUUUUAAACACCUGCUCGUCGGUGGUCUCUCCCUCCACCUCCACCUCUGCUUCGUCUUCACCGAUUCUGAUUUAUCUCAUUCCUCAUCCUUACCCAUAAUCAAAUCGGCCCCUCCUUUCUCCUCAGAGCAGGGUACGGCACCUCGUUAGUUGCUCCAUACCGAUUUGAAGCUCUGAAGUUGAGAGCAGAGCACGGUUCUGAUCACACUCGCCGUUCAGAUAAUGGUUCACGCUGCCAUCUGCUUCUCUUGCGUUGCUGUUAAGGUUCGAUUACUCCUUCAGAGUUCAUGCAAUUCACGAACAGGUUGAAUCGGUACAGUUUCAGGUGUUACCAAAGGUUCCAAUAAAGUUGGAAGCCACAAGCAAUGACUCAAGACGAUGUAUUAUUGGUGGAAUGAAUGAUAAUGAAUAUAUUGUACUGGCUGAUAUGGGUGACAUAACAAUAGAGCACAGUUCAGGAGGCAGUUCAACUGAAGCCCUGGUUGAUUCUGAAGAAAAAUAGUAUAUAAUCAGCAGCACACAGAGAAACAUGAUACUAAAAAUGGCUCAAGGAAAAGUUAGAAAGAUGAAACUUAUAGGAACAACUGAAUAUAGCCUUUGCACUUGUUUCAUGGGCAAAAAAAAUUGUAUGUUCUUUCCAGAAAUCAUCCUGCACAAGAAACUUUACAUAUUUGUUUGGAAUGGGAAGAGAACAGAUAAGAGAGAAGAUUAGGGGAGAAAACUAGAGGAAAAAGACAUUUCAUACCCUUGUUUCCCCUCAUUUCUCCCUAGAGAGAGGGGGAAAACUUUAUGCUAGGAAUGGAAAAAUGUCUUUUUCUUCUACUAUUCUCCUAUAGUUUUCUUUCCUUCUUAUUUUCUUCCCAUUCCAAAUGGAAGGUACCAGUACAAGUUCAAAUACUAGUAUCAAAAUUCAAACCUCUUUUCUUCACUUGUCUGUUUUUGAGUAGGUAAUUUUGCACUUGAAAUAUAUGCCUUCCAUUAUAUAGCUGCUGGUUUUCAAAACAUAAUUGAAUUCCAUACCUGAAAUGUAGGACAAUGGAUGAGAACAUGUCAGAGUAAAAAACCCAAUGGAAAAUAUAAACUUAAAAACAAGACCUCAGCAACAAAUAUUAUCUCACUUUUCUUCAUAGUAUCUUUUGUAUGUAAUUGCUUCGCCAUUCCUUUGUCUUAGCCGAGAGUUCCCAUCCAAUUCCAUUAUACCAGUAAUGAUAUAAAAAUGACCAUUAUGAGGAGUAUAGACCAAUGAAUUUUCAAGUUCACAGGAACAAACAAGGCCAUCUUGAGUGUAUGCAUUUGCAAUAUGAUUGUUGCAACCUUCUUGAGAUGAAGGCCAGUCAAUGGUGAAAGGUCUUUGAUGUGUGGUAGUGAAUGGAAGAAGAAGAUAAUCAACCUCAAGAUCAUCUUCCAAACAGAGUUCAUUUAAAAUGUCUGUCAACUUAGCCAUAUCAUAGCCAGAAAGAAUCCCAAACACAGCGACCUGGAAUCUUCUGCACAAAAGAACCUGAAAAGGGACAACAGAACAAAAACAUAGUAACUUCAUUAAACUUUGUAGCACCUGCUAUUAUGCUAUACGUCCUCUGAAUUAUAAUAUAAGUUAUAGUUAACUAAUAUAUGGUUUACAAACAAUGUUAGAACUUUUAAAUUAUUAAAAAUAUUCACAUCUUUUUAUUUAUACCUUCAUUAAAUACAUUAUAUAAGAACAUUGAUAAUAGCAAUUAAAAUUUCAAUGCUUGAUUUUUUCAGAAAGAGUAAAAUAAAAUAGAGGUAUUGUUUGAAAAACAAAUAUAAAAGUUAUUUAAUGUUCUAUAUUUUGAAUCAAGUAAGGUCUAGAAGAUGUUUUAAAUUGUGAUCUAGAGGAAGUACUACCCAUAAGGAGAACAAAGUGGCAUACCUCAUUUAGGCCAAGAUUUUUUGUUCCGAUGUAAUUAAACUUUACUGUUAGGCUCCCUCGGUCAAUACACAUUUUAAAUUCCAUUAACCCAAUAACUUCUGGGUCAAGCUCACACCUUGUAGCAAGGAUAACAUCACUAGGAGAAAUAUCAUUGAUAAAGUCUUGUUUCAAGUCUACUAAAUAGCAGUGAUACACUGCAUUGCCAUCAAUGUGUGAAAACCUGUUGACCAAUUCAGGUGGGAUGUAAUGAGGUUGCUCUUCAUUAUAGGAUUCGUUUACUGUAAGAAUCGGAUCAUAAAUGGUCAAAAAGAAAAAAAAAACAUGAAAGGUAAUAAGAAAAAUAAAUAACAGGCACGAAAUUACCUAAUUUCAGUGCCACAUUGUUGUCCAUGAUGAUAUCAGUGCCAAGAUUGCCUGUGAAAGCUCCAAGCCUUAUUCUCUCAGUCUGCAAUUUCAAAUCGGUGACGAAAAGCGCGAGGCAAAAAGUAAUGAGAGAGGAAAGUAUAAAUAAUACUGCAACAGGUCAGUGUCUCCUUCAUGAGCAAGUUAACUUUCAACAGAAGGAGACUCCGCAAGUGAGAGAGGCAAUGAAAAGAAUCAUUAUAUUGGCCCUGUCGCUUUCGGAAAGAAGGAAAGCGAACGAUGCAACGUGCCAACCUCAAGGAAAGUGGUCAGCUUUGCUCCUUGUUAUUCAAGUUAACUUUAAAAUGUUUAAAUUUCUGUUAACCCAAGAAAAAUGGUUAACAUUCUAUUGGGAAAUAAUAUGAGAAAAUACAAUUAUCAGUUCUUAUAAUUUUAUUGAGUUUUACUUUUAGCUUUUGUAUUUUUUUUUUCCCCCAGUUUGUCAGUCUUUGUAGUUUCAGCUAGGUGUGUUUACUAGAUGGUUUGUUUGGGAUUCAAAUUUUAUUGCAUUUUUUGACCCAUUUCAAAAGCCAUCCUGUCUUUAUAGAAGUCAGAACAAGAUUGGAACGUCGUGGUAACCAUUCUUACUUUCUUUAGUUACCCUUGUAUUUUUAAAUGAUUAGUAAUACUUAACCAAUAUGCACCAAGCA